rnacentral:rRNA from 1 species
UACGAAGGGGGCUAGCGUUGCUCGGAAUCACUGGGCGUAAAGCGCACGUAGGCGGAUCUUUAAGUCCGGUGUGAAAUCCUGGAGCUCAACUCCAGAACUGCCUUUGAUACUGGGGAUCUCGAGUCCGGAAGAGGUGAGUGGAACUCCGAGUGUAGAGGUGAAAUUCGUAGAUAUUCGGAAGAACACCGGUGGCGAAAGCGGCGCACUGGACCACAACUGACGCUGAGGCGCGAAAGCUAGGGGAGCAAACAGG